CCUACGGGCGGCUGCAGUGGGGGAUAUUGCACAAUGGGGGAAACCCUGAUGCAGCGACGCCGCGUGGGCGAAGAAGUAUUUCGGUAUGUAAAGCCCUAUCAGCAGGGAAGAAGAAAUGACGGUACCUGAGUAAGAAGCACCGGCAAAAUACGUGCCAGCAGCCGCGGUAAUACGUAGGGUGCAAGCGUUAUCCGGAUUUACUGGGUGUAAAGGGAGCGCAGGCGGCACGGCAAGCCUGAUGUGAAAGCCCGGGGCCUAACCGCGGGACUGCAUUGGGAACUAUCGGGCUGGAGUGCCGGAGAGGUAGGCGGAAUUCCUAGUGUAGCGGUGAAAUGCGUAGAUAUUAGGAGGAACACCAGCGGCGAAGGCGGCCUACUGGACGGUGACUGACGCUGAGGCUCGAAAGCGUGGGGAGCAAACAGGAUUAGAUACCCCUGUAGUC
rnacentral:rRNA from 1 species